rnacentral:rRNA from 1 species
GAUGAACGCUGGCGGCGUGCUUAACACAUGCGAGUCGAACGGAAAGGCUCCUGCUUGCAGGGGUACUCGAGUGGUGAACGGGUGAGUAACACGUGGGUGAUCUGCCCUGCACUUCGGGAUAAGCCUGGGAAACUGGGUCUAAUACCGGAUAGGACGAUGGUUUGGAUGCCAUUGUGGAAAGUUUUUUCGGUGUGGGAUGAGCUCGCGGCCUAUCAGCUUGUUGGUGGGGUAAUGGCCUACCAAGGCGUCGACGGGUAGCCGGCCUGAGAGGGUGUACGGCCACAUUGGGACUGAGAUACGGCCCAGACUCCUACGGGAGGCAGCAGUGGGGAAUAUUGCACAAUGGGCGCAAGCCUGAUGCAGCGACGCCGCGUGGGGGAUGACGGCCUUCGGGUUGUAAACUCCUUUCGCUAGGGACGAAGCGCAAGUGACGGUACCUGGAGAAGAAGCACCGGCUAACUACGUG